rnacentral:tRNA from 1 species
AUGCCUAUAAUUUAAAGGUAAAAUAUCUAUCUUCGGAAUAGGGUAUAAGGGUUCAAUUCUCUUUAGGCAUU